rnacentral:rRNA from 1 species
CAAUAGCGUAUAUUAAAGUUGUUGCAGUUAAAAAGCUCGUAGUUGGAUUUGUGGCGUACGGUGUGUUCCGGGCACUUGUUGUCUGAGUAACCUGCUGUUGCCAUCCUUGGGUGGAACCUGUGUGGCAUUAGGUUGUCGUGCAGGGGACGCCCAUCAUUUACUGUGAAAAAAUUAGAGUGUUCAAAGCAGGCUUAUGCCGUUGAAUAUAUUAGCAUGGAAUAAUGAGAUAGGACUUUUUUGCUAUUUUGUUGGUUUGCGCAAAGAGGUAAUGAUUAAUAGGGACAGUUGGGGGUAUUCGUAUUCCAUUGUCAGAGGUGAAAUUCUUGGAUUUUUGGAAGACGAACUACUGCGAAAGCAUUUACCAAGGAUGUUUUCAUUAA